UACGGAGGGGGCUAGCGUUGUUCGGAAUUACUGGGCGUAAAGCGCGCGUAGGCGGAUCUGCAAGUCGGGGGUGAAAUCCCGAGGCUCAACCUCGGAACUGCCUUCGAUACUGCGGGUCUCGAGUCCGGGAAGAGGUGAGUGGAAUUCCUAGUGUAGAGGUGAAAUUCGUAGAUAUUAGGAAGAACACCAGUGGCGAAGGCGGCUCACUGGCCCGGUACUGACGCGUGAGG
rnacentral:rRNA from 1 species